rnacentral:rRNA from 1 species
AACGAACGCUGGCGGCGUGCUUAACACAUGCAAGUCGAACGCGAAAGGGACCUCGGUCCUGAGUAGAGUGGCGCACGGGUGAGUAACGCGUAAGUUAUCUACCCCUCCAUCUGGAAUAACUCACCGAAAGGUGUGCUAAUACCGGAUACGUUGGAAACAAGAAAGGUGGCCUCUUCUAUGCUACCGUGGAGGGAUGAGCUUGCGUACCAUUAGCUAGUUGGUAGGGUAAUGGCCUACCAAGGCAACGAUGGUUAGCGGGUCUGAGAGGAUGAUCCGCCACACUGGAACUGGAACACGGACCAGACUCCUACGGGAGGCAGCAGUGAGGAAUAUUGCGCAAUGGGGGAAACCCUGACGCAGCGACGCCGCGUGGAUGAUGAAGGCCUUUGGGUCGUAAAAUCCUGUCAGAUGGAAAGAAAUGUACAUGUGCUAAUAUCACUUGUAUUUGACGGUACCAUCAAAGGAAGCACCGGCUAACUCCGUGCCAGCAGCCGCGGUAA